rnacentral:rRNA from 1 species
UACGUAGGGGGCAAGCGUUUGUCCGGAAUCAUUGGGCGUAAAGCGCGUGUAGGCGGUCCGGUAAGUCGGCUGUGAAAGUCCAGGCUCAACCUCGAGACGCCGGUGGAAACCAUCAGGCUAGAGUCCGGAAGAGGAGAGUGGAAUUCCUGGUGUAGCGGUGAAAUGCGCAGAUAUCAGGAAGAACACCCGUGGCUAAGGCGGCUCUCUAGUACGGUACUGACGCUGAGACGCGAAAGCGUGGGGAGCGAACAGG